UGGACUAAUACCGCAUACGACCUAUGGGUGAAAGCGGAGGACCGCAAGGCUUCGCACUAUAGGAGCGGCCGAUAUCGGAUUAGCUAGUUGGUGGGGUAAAAGCCUACCAAGGCGACGAUCCGUAGCUGGUCUGAGAGGACGAUCAGCCACACUGGAACUGAGACACGGUCCAGACUCCUACGGGAGGCAGCAGUGGGGAAUUUUGGACAAUGGGGGCAACCCUGAUCCAGCCAUGCCGCGUGAGUGAAGAAGGCCUUCGGGUUGUAAAGCUCUUUCGGCGGGGACGGAACGGUUCGUGCUAAUACCACGGACUAAUGACGGUACCCGCAUAAGAAGCACCGGCUAACUACGUGCCAGCAGCCGCGGUAAUACGUAGGGUGCAGGCGUUAAUCGGAAUUACUGGGCGUAAAGCGUGCGCAGGCGGUUUGUUAAGACAGGUGUGAAAUCCCCGGGCUUAACCUGGGAAUUGCGUUUGUUACUGGCAGACUUGAGUGUGGCAGAGGGGGGUGGAAUUCCAAGUGUAGCAGUGAAAUGCGUAGAUAUUUGGAGGAACACCGAUGGCGAAGGCAGCCCCCUGGGUUAACACUGACGCUCAUGCACGAAAGCGUGGGGAGCAAACAGGAUUAGAUACCCUGGUAGUCCACGCCCUAAACUAUGUCAACUGGUUGUCGGGGAAGCAAUUCCUUGGUAACGAAGCUAACGCGUGAAGUUGACCGCCUGGGGAGUACGGCCGCAAGGUUAAAACUCAAAGGAAUUGACGGGGACCCGCACAAGCGGUGGAUUAUGUGGAUUAAUGCGAUGCAACGCGAAAAACUUACCUAC
rnacentral:rRNA from 1 species